rnacentral:rRNA from 1 species
AGCGAACGCUGGCGGCAGGCCUAACACAUGCAAGUCGAACGAACCUUUCGGGGUUAGUGGCGGACGGGUGAGUAACACGUGGGAACGUGCCUUUAGGUUCGGAAUAACUCAGGGAAACUUGUGCUAAUACCGAAUGUGCCCUUCGGGGGAAAGAUUUAUCGCCUUUAGAGCGGCCCGCGUCUGAUUAGCUAGUUGGUUGAGGUAAUGGCUCACCAAGGCGACGAUCAGUAGCUGGUCUGAGAGGAUGAUCAGCCACAUUGGGCCUGAGACACGGCCCAAACUCCUACGGGAGGCAGCAGUGGGGAAUCUUGCGCAAUGGGCGAAAGCCUGACGCAGCCAUGCCGCGUGAAUGAUGAAGGUCUUAGGAUUGUAAAAUUCUUUCACCGGGGACGAUAAUGACGGUACCCGGAGAAGAAGCCCCGGCUAACUUCGUG